rnacentral:rRNA from 1 species
AUUGAACGCUGGCGGCAGGCCUAACACAUGCAAGUCGAACGAGUGGCGGACGGGUGAGUAAUGUCUGGGAAACUGCCUGAUGGAGGGGGCUAACUACUGGAAACGGUAGCUAAUACCGCAUACCAUAGAAGUGGCCCAUAUGGGAUUAGCUUGGUGGGGGGGUACAGGCUCACCAAGGCAACGAUCCCUAGCUGGUCUGAGAGGAUGACCAGCCACACUGGAACUGAGACACGGUCCAGACUCCUACGGGAGGCAGCAGUGGGGAAUAUUGCACAAUGGGCGCAAGCCUGAUGCAGCCAUGCCGCGUGUAUGAAGAAGGCCUUCGGGUUGUAAAGUACUUUCAGCGGGGAGGCGUUACCCGCAGAAGAAGCAACGGCUAACCCCGCGCCAGCAGCCGCGGUAAUAC